AAAUAUCAGCAUUUCACGUUCGACAUUUUUCACAGUGAUUUGUAUGCAUUAAUCGACACUUAGUCUCUGGCACGCAAAUUUACUUUCGUAUAGUGAGCACAUAGUUGUGUGAACGGUAGAUGGAAAUUCCGAAAAUACCCUUCGAUUCUGCAUGAAAUUCUGUAUCAACCGCCCUAGUUUUCCUUUUUCAUUCAAAAACUGAACCGAGAUAUUCGCCCUUUAAUACUCUAAAACUCGAGUCUUUACCCUGCUAUAGGAAUUUGUGUACUGAGUAGAUGGAAAAUCGGAGAACACCAUUGAAUUCGCCAUAAAAAUCAGUAUCUUUUCAUAGUAAAUAUCCC